UUCAAAUGCAAGACUAAAUGCUCUAAAAGUACCUACACCAUUUUGCUAACCCAAAAAAUCUAGACACUGAGUUGGGGGAAAAGGGCUGUGUUUUCUCCCUGGAAAUUGUGUGUCAUGAAAAACUGAGAUUCCAGGGGGUAAAUAUCAAACCAAAGAAUUUAAGGACCAGCCAAGCAGCAGUGAGACAAGGGUUGAUGCAAGGAGAAAUCUGUCACAGCAUGAGACCAUCCAGAGGCUUCAAGGGGCCACCGUGUAGAAGAGGAGGAGAGCAAGAGAACUCCCUGAGGAGGAGGACCUGACCUUCUCUCAGCAGCACGGAACGAAAGAAUCGUGAUGCUUUUCAGGCCAGAAGAGAAGUAGCUCUCCACCUCCUGCACCAUGUUUUCUUUCACAGUUCCCUGACAGCCUGACCCUGGCCCAUCCUCAGAGGCGAUAAAUGAUGUACUAAUGCAACCCUGAUUAGGAAGCCAGGAGGUUAAUCUGCAGGGCUCCUUCUGGUAAAGACCAGGCCAGACUCUGCAGCACAGCUCAGCCAAGGGAUAAAGCCCAAGCCUGCAUGACCGCAGAGACUGUCUGAGGGUACAGUCUGCAGUUCUGCCUCCUAGGACCCCAUCCAUCGAAGUCGGUUUCACUCUUACGCCCACUGCUUCUUUCUUCGGCUCCUCCCUCUUUGCUUUGGUUCCAGUGAUUAAAGAUGCAAGAUACCCAGCCAUUUCCCAGCACUUCUGUAAACUGUGGAAGCCCCAGAGGAGAGGCUCAGCCCUGUUAAGCUAAGGCCUAAAGCCCUGAAGCCCAGAGAUACAAACCAUGAAACCCUUAAGACUCAGUUCACAGGAAAAAGAACUUUGUUUUUUGGUUCUGCUCUUCAUGUGAUUAAUAGGUGUCAUUGUUUGGUCUGACAACAAAGGCAUCACUGUGGAACAAGCUAACAGUUUUGCUCCCAGACAGGACCAAGAGAAAAAAUACUCCUGAUACUCAGAUCAUUUUUCUCAGAACUCAGUGCAUGGCCAUUUUUUAAGAGCAUGCGAUGGAAUUUUCAACAUCUGCAUUAAACAUAUACAGUAAAACUGAAUCUACUAGUGUGGGAAGACAGCUAACAUGUAUUACAAAAGUGUCUGUGACAUAUACUAAUUAAGAGUGGGUAAGAUCCAGAUCUGGCUUUGAAUCUCUAUUCACCCACUUACUGCUUAAAUGACCUUUUGAGACAUAGAUUAUCCUUGUGAAAUGGGGUUAAUAAUAGUCACCUUAUAGGGUUGAGUGGAGGAUUCCAUGAGAUGAUGCUAUUAAACCUCUGAGCACAGUGCGUGGCACAGAAUAAAUUGUCCCCUAGUAUUAGCAGCUGUUAUUGGUGAUCCAUGAACAUGAGGGGCAGGGAGAGGUCUGAGGCAAGACCAAAUCCACCACAUCAUCUUUGGCAUGAGGUAGGCUCUACUUUUCAAAUCUCAAUAUACCAACUUCUAAUAAUCAAUGGGUAUAUAACACAAAAAGAUUAUUAUCAGUAGGAAACAAUUGUUCAUUGUAGAUGUCUAACUGUUCCUUCAGUUAGUAGCUGCAUUUUAAAAACGUGUUCCUCCUCAGUGAAUAACACAUUUAUUUAGGAACCACUUGGUAAAGACUACAAUAAAUUGGAUUUUAAUAGUGGGCAGUUGGUUCACAUGUAAUAGGCUUUGUAGUAAAUGAAGUAAUGUUUUUUAUUCUGUCUCUCAGGAAAAUGGGAAAAUAUUUGGCUUGAACAUUUUGAAUGAUGAUAAAUCAAAUGUUAGUGGUUCUGAAUCUGGGUUAAUUUUACUUCCGCCCCCCCCCCCCCCCGGUGGACAUUUGGCAAAGUCUGGAGACAUUUUUGGUUGUCACAACUAGGAUGAGGACAGUUUCCAUCGGCAUCGAGUGGGUAGAAAUCAGGGAUGAUGCUAGACAUCCUAAAAUGCACAAGAUAUCCCCUCACCACCAAGAAUGAUCUGACCCCAAAUGUCACUAGCGCAAAGACUGAGAAAUCCGGGUGUAACCAAACCUGUGGGGCUGUGGAAGGAGUCUAAAUGGCUUCUUAUUAUGUGAGGAAAUUUAGCUACAAUUUAAAUCACUGGCAUUGAAUUGAAAUAAAUUUCACCUAAAAACUUAUUGGAGAAUCAUUAGUAAACUUUGUAGUUCUUAAUUAA